CAGUCGCCACGGGAAUACGUAGGGUGCAAGCGUUAUCCGGAAUUAUUGGGCGUAAAGAGCUCGUAGGCGGUUUGUCGCGUCUGCUGUGAAAACUGGAGGCUCAACCUCCAGCCUGCAGUGGGUACGGGCAGACUAGAGUGCGGUAGGGGAGAUUGGAAUUCCUGGUGUAGCGGUGGAAUGCGCAGAUAUCAGGAGGAACACCGAUGGCGAAGGCAGAUCUCUGGGCCGUAACUGACGCUGAGGAGCGAAAGCAUGGGGAGCGAACAGGAUUAGAUACCCGGGUAGUCCCUGUCUCUUAUAC
rnacentral:rRNA from 1 species